GACGAACGCUGGCGGCGUGCUUAACACAUGCAAGUCGAACGAGAUCCAACUGGUGGCAACACCGGUGAAGAUUUAGUGGCGAACGGGUGAGUAACACGUGAGCAACCUGCCCCGAAGACCGGGAUAACAGCGGGAAACCGCUGCUAAUACCGGAUACCCCCACCGGACCACCUGGCCCGAUGAGGAAAUGGAUUCCGCUUCGGGAGGGGCUCGCGGCCUAUCAGCUUGUUGGUGGGGUAACGGCCUACCAAGGCGACGACGGGUAGCUGGUCUGAGAGGACGAUCAGCCACACUGGGACUGAGACACGGCCCAGACUCCUACGGGAGGCAGCAGUGGGGAAUAUUGCGCAAUGGGCGAAAGCCUGACGCAGCAACGCCGCGUGAGGGAUGAAGGCCUUCGGGUUGUAAACCUCUUUCGAGCAGGGACGAUAAUGACGGUACCUGCAGAAGAAGCUCCGGCCAACUACGUGCCAGCAGCCGCAGUAAAAC
rnacentral:rRNA from 1 species